rnacentral:lncRNA from 1 species
CCGUCUGAGGGUAUAUCCUCAAUUCCUCAUUAGUAUUAUCAUGCCAUGGAUUUAAUUAUGUCGAGCAUCUGCAUCUCUUUCAAGAUUCUCAGAUAGUUCAUGUCCGAGGAAGUCUGAUGAUGGGGAUAGGUUGUUGUGGAUCAUUGACCAACUUGCCUGCAAGUGCGAGUGCGACCAAGACAGACUUAGUCUUUGGUAUCAUGCCAUGUCCAUUUCUUUUCCUUGAUAACUAACCUGCUGGCACUUUGCAGAGUCAGCUAACUUGUGCCUGGGCUUACAAUAGGAUACUUCAUCCAACUGUAACAUAUGUCAUGUGCAAUUUCUUUCUUUCUUUCUUUCUUCGUUACUUGGAUGGCGGCAAAGAAAUAAUAGUCAGUGGGGAUGAGCCAGCUUGUCCACUUUUCCUGAUAUUCAGCUCACUUAGUACUUCCAUUUGGCGGAUCCUGGUGUGCACAAGCUGUAGACUGCAUAACAAACGGAGAAUGGUAUUUGUACUUCGAUAGACUGGUUUAUGCACGAGUAUGCUUUACCCACAUGAACCUCACAAGUUCCUUUUGUGCUCAGGUUUUUUUCAAUCAUCUGGGAUAUCUCUGCGGGAAAAAGAAAAAAAAAUAGAUCAUCUGGGGCAUGAUGUUAAUAGAACCAGGCCAAACAAGCCGGCAGCCGGUACUGAAGAAGUUUCAACUCCC